rnacentral:rRNA from 1 species
GGGUUGUGAGGUUAAGCGACUAAGCGUACACGGUGGAUGCCCUGGCAGUCAGAGGCGAUGAAGGACGUGCUAAUCUGCGAUAAGCGUCGGUAAGGUGAUAUGAACCGUUAUAACCGGCGAUUUCCGAAUGGGGAAACCCAGUGUGAUUCGUCACACUAUCAUUAACUGAAUCCAUAGGUUAAUGAGGCGAACCGGGGGAACUGAAACAUCUAAGUACCCCGAGGAAAAGAAAUCAACCGAGAUUCCCCCAGUAGCGGCGAGCGAACGGGGAGCAGCCCAGAGCCUGAAUCAGUGUGUGUGUUAGUGGAAGCGUCUGGAAAGGCGCGCGAUACAGGGUGACAGCCCCGUACACAAAAAUGCACAUGCUGUGAGCUCGAUGAGUAGGGCGGGACACGUGGUAUCCUGUCUGAAUAUGGGGGGACCAUCCUCCAAGGCUAAAUACUCCUGACUGACCGAUAGUGAACCAGUACCGUGAGGGAAAGGCGAAAAGAACCCCGGCGAGGGGAGUGAAAAAGAACCUGAAACCGUGUACGUACAAGCAGUGGGAGCACAGAGCAAUCUGUGUGACUGCGUACCUUUUGUAUAAUGGGUCAGCGACUUAUAUUCUGUAGCAAGGUUAACCGAAUAGGGGAGCCGAAGGGAAACCGAGUCUUAACUGGGCGUUAAGUUGCAGGGUAUAGACCCGAAACCCGGUGAUCUAGCCAUGGGCAGGUUGAAGGUUGGGUAACACUAACUGGAGGACCGAACCGACUAAUGUUGAAAAAUUAGCGGAUGACUUGUGGCUGGGGGUGAAAGGCCAAUCAAACCGGGAGAUAGCUGGUUCUCCCCGAAAGCUAUUUAGGUAGCGCCUCGUGAAUUCAUCUCCGGGGGUAGAGCACUGUUUCGGCAAGGGGGUCAUCCCGACUUACCAACCCGAUGCAAACUGCGAAUACCGGAGAAUGUUAUCACGGGAGACACACGGCGGGUGCUAACGUCCGUCGUGAAGAGGGAAACAACCCAGACCGCCAGCUAAGGUCCCAAAGUCAUGGUUAAGUGGGAAACGAUGUGGGAAGGCCCAGACAGCCAGGAUGUUGGCUUAGAAGCAGCCAUCAUUUAAAGAAAGCGUAAUAGCUCACUGGUCGAGUCGGCCUGCGCGGAAGAUGUAACGGGGCUAAACCAUGCACCGAAGCUGCGGCAGCGACACUAUGUGUUGUUGGGUAGGGGAGCGUUCUGUAAGCCUGUGAAGGUGUACUGUGAGGUAUGCUGGAGGUAUCAGAAGUGCGAAUGCUGACAUAAGUAACGAUAAAGCGGGUGAAAAGCCCGCUCGCCGGAAGACCAAGGGUUCCUGUCCAACGUUAAUCGGGGCAGGGUGAGUCGACCCCUAAGGCGAGGCCGAAAGGCGUAGUCGAUGGGAAACAGGUUAAUAUUCCUGUACUUGGUGUUACUGCGAAGGGGGGACGGAGAAGGCUAUGUUGGCCGGGCGACGGUUGUCCCGGUUUAAGCGUGUAGGCUGGUUUUCCAGGCAAAUCCGGAAAAUCAAGGCUGAGGCGUGAUGACGAGGCACUACGGUGCUGAAGCAACAAAUGCCCUGCUUCCAGGAAAAGCCUCUAAGCAUCAGGUAACAUCAAAUCGUACCCCAAACCGACACAGGUGGUCAGGUAGAGAAUACCAAGGCGCUUGAGAGAACUCGGGUGAAGGAACUAGGCAAAAUGGUGCCGUAACUUCGGGAGAAGGCACGCUGAUAUGUAGGUGAAGUCCCUCGCGGAUGGAGCUGAAAUCAGUCGAAGAUACCAGCUGGCUGCAACUGUUUAUUAAAAACACAGCACUGUGCAAACACGAAAGUGGACGUAUACGGUGUGACGCCUGCCCGGUGCCGGAAGGUUAAUUGAUGGGGUUAGCGCAAGCGAAGCUCUUGAUCGAAGCCCCGGUAAACGGCGGCCGUAACUAUAACGGUCCUAAGGUAGCGAAAUUCCUUGUCGGGUAAGUUCCGACCUGCACGAAUGGCGUAAUGAUGGCCAGGCUGUCUCCACCCGAGACUCAGUGAAAUUGAACUCGCUGUGAAGAUGCAGUGUACCCGCGGCAAGACGGAAAGACCCCGUGAACCUUUACUAUAGCUUGACACUGAACAUUGAGCCUUGAUGUGUAGGAUAGGUGGGAGGCUUUGAAGUGUGGACGCCAGUCUGCAUGGAGCCGACCUUGAAAUACCACCCUUUAAUGUUUGAUGUUCUAACGUUGACCCGUAAUCCGGGUUGCGGACAGUGUCUGGUGGGUAGUUUGACUGGGGCGGUCUCCUCCUAAAGAGUAACGGAGGAGCACGAAGGUUGGCUAAUCCUGGUCGGACAUCAGGAGGUUAGUGCAAUGGCAUAAGCCAGCUUGACUGCGAGCGUGACGGCGCGAGCAGGUGCGAAAGCAGGUCAUAGUGAUCCGGUGGUUCUGAAUGGAAGGGCCAUCGCUCAACGGAUAAAAGGUACUCCGGGGAUAACAGGCUGAUACCGCCCAAGAGUUCAUAUCGACGGCGGUGUUUGGCACCUCGAUGUCGGCUCAUCACAUCCUGGGGCUGAAGUAGGUCCCAAGGGUAUGGCUGUUCGCCAUUUAAAGUGGUACGCGAGCUGGGUUUAGAACGUCGUGAGACAGUUCGGUCCCUAUCUGCCGUGGGCGCUGGAGAACUGAGGGGGGCUGCUCCUAGUACGAGAGGACCGGAGUGGACGCAUCACUGGUGUUCGGGUUGUCAUGCCAAUGGCACUGCCCGGUAGCUAAAUGCGGAAGAGAUAAGUGCUGAAAGCAUCUAAGCACGAAACUUGCCCCGAGAUGAGUUCUCCCUGACUCCUUGAGAGUCCUGAAGGAACGUUGAAGACGACGACGUUGAUAGGCCGGGUGUGUAAGCGCAGCGAUGCGUUGAGCUAACCGGUACUAAUGAACCGUGAGGCUUAACCUUACAACGCCGAAG